CACAUACUCCCUCCGUCCGGAAAUACUUGUCAUCAAAAUGGAUAAAAGGGGAUGUAUCUAGACAUAUUUUAGUUCUAGAUACAUCUCUUUUUAGUCACUUUGAUGACAAGUAUUUUCGGACGGAGGGAGUA
rnacentral:pre_miRNA from 1 species